UUUUGGGUGAGUUUUGAAAUGGACGAAUGGAAACCACAUUCACUUUAGUCAAUAUUUAGGUCAUAUUAGUUAAAUGUAAUUGGGAUAAAUAUGUUAUACAUCAUCUUUGGAUAUUUAGCAUUUUUAAAUACUGCUGUACUUUUCAUUUCAUAAUGUAGGUCACAACUUAGAACUGACUCGAGGCUAAAUUUUAGAGGUUGCGCGACUGAAUAAUUACGUCAAUACUAGUUUUGUCCAGUUCUAAACAAGACAUUUUGUGCUCCCUUUUCUUCUGGUCUUAAAUGCAUCAAUUAUUUUUCUUGUUAUCUAUUUUUUAUAAUAACUAUUUUCUUCUAUCUCUUUCAGUUUGAGGCAUGAACAAAGAGAAGAGCAGGACAUAUAAUUAAACCCACAUACACACAAUUCUGUGCAUCAUCGCGGGCCUAAAAAUGCGAUACAGUUCCCAUAAGACUUAGGGGUUUUGGAAAAAGUGCCUAAAUUAAAAAUUAAAUAAAAAUAGGACUUAUUAAAUAGGUAUAUAUGUACAAAAAAGAUUUUUUUUAAACGUUGGUUAGUACCUAAAUAAAAAUGCCAAAUUGAAGUACAGUUAUGAACAUUAUGGACGUUGGAGAAUACAUAGCAACAAUGGCAAAUAUACAGUAGACUUUUUCAUAUUCCAAAUGAUUGCUUGAAAAGUUGAGUUCACCUACAAUGGUAUUAAUCGGUUUAAGAUUGAAUGUGAGAUUAAAUGUCUAAACAAAUAUCCUUCCAGAUUUGUGCACGUUCAUAAAAGCUAUAUGAACCACACGUGCAAAAAUCAAACAAAGGACUUUGUUUUAAAGGAAGAAGAAUUUUGCAACAAUGCCAUGUGGAACUGUUGUCAGAAAAUGGAUUGUACUGUAAACUAGUUUCCAGUCGUUUGUCGUCUUAAAAAAACAGUCCUUGUGUAAAAAGUUUGUCAACGCCUCCUUAAUAAAACCCAACACAGUGGGAAAAAAGAUGCCCAAAAUAGCACUGUUCCCUGGUCAGAUGGCAUUAUUUAACAAAUGUUCAAUCCAUAGCUUGCUUUCUCUACUGUCUCAAAGCUUGACAUGACAAACCGGGUGGAAUAUUUUAAAGGAUAACAAAACAAAAAAAAUGUUAAACUUACUGAGUGUCGUGAUUGUGGAAACAUCAUGUCAGGUCCUGGUUUGUUGCUCUUACUCCAGACUCCCAGCUGUGUGCUCCGUGUUUGUAUAUGUUUUCCUUCUGGCGUUGCUCCUUUGUCCACAGCUCUCAGCCUUCACGGGGACUGUCCACUGUUAGCAGCAGGGCUGUAGCUAAACACUGUGAAUAACCACCGCCCCAGGGAAAACAAACAAACAAACAAACAAACAAACAAAAUUCCGGCAAUACUUGCGAGAGACGGGCCACGCAAUCGCAGUAAAAUAGUGGCUGUAAUAAUGUGAGAGCCUUCAGCUGGACCUGUCCUGUCCUCCUGUUCACAGCGUGCGUGGACAGGAAACGAGCAUCAGUACUGCCCACCGCGGCUGCUGCUGCAUCUGUGAGCUAAUUCUUUUCCAGCUGUCCGUCAACGUGAUUCAUGGCUGUCGCGAUCUUUCCGCAUCAACGCUCCAGCUGCAGCGACGUGAACUAAACGCGUGUAAAUUAAUAACGUCCCUCAGAGACACGGAGGAAGAGAGCGGCGUCUGGGACGAAGCUCGCGGGUGAGAGGGAUCGAUACACUUUCCGUUCGAAGCUUCUAGUUUUUCCGCUGUCUUCAAACAGCUACGACAGCACCGAGGAGAAAAAAAAUGUAAUUUUCAGAUUAACAAAAUGUCUGCUGAAGUUGAAGCACGUCUCCUUCAGCAGCAAUAAAAUAUUCAGUGUCGCCGCUCAGGCGGAAAAAAAUAAAGAAUGUGUUUACAAUUUAAAUUGCUCCAGACUGUUGAAGGUGUGUAUCUUUCUAUUUCUCUGACCAGAGAAGUCCCGAAGAAACAGACUGAUGUUGGUGAAGCCACAAAGUCAGUCGAUUCCUGGAGCGAAGACGCGUCUCUGCUGCUGCUGCUGCUGCUGCUGAACGCCCCACACAGAAAUUCAGCGGCUAGAAAGAAGCGGUGAGCUGCUGAUCUACACACCGCAGAUCUAGCGCAUUGACCGACUAAUGUAUUAACUCAAGAGUGAACAGAACGGCCAAACUUAAACCAUGUGGAAAAUAAAGAAGACACUUGAAGAAGAGAAACCCCAAGAAUCUUAGUGUACUGCAGCCCAGAGCUCACAGGGGAAUGAAAAUGUUCAGGAGUGCUGCUGUGAUCUGAUGUCUGCAUUUUCUUUCCUCCAGAGGCCAUGAAUAGCAUUAGAAAGUAGACCUUUGUUUCUAUGCUGUGUUUGUAAGUUGUGUCAAACCAUUUGAAUUGUUCUUGAUUUGAUUAUUUAUUUAAAAGAGUAAAA